GUGAAAUCGUUUAAAAUUAUCGGGCAGACUUUUGAAGAAAUUUUUAUUUUGAUAAAGCGCUGGUCGAGGUUUCAGUAGUUUAUAAAUGUUAUGUGGUUUUGUAUUUUCUUUUUUUUUUUUUUGUUGGGGUAAAAGGGAAAGGACCCCACUUUCGCGAGUGGAGGCUCUCUGACUUUUUUUUCCUCUAUAUAUAAGAAAAAAAAAAUAUUUUACUAUAAUAUAUUCAUAUCUCUGAUCCGAAUUACCCAAUUUUUUAGAGACAAUUUUAUAACUUGAAUGUGUUUUUAUUAUUAAACAAAUUAAAACUUUCAGUGACGGAUCUCUUGGCUCUCGCAUCGAUGAAGAACGCAGUAAAUCGCGAUACGUAAUGUGAAUUGCAGAAAUAUGUGAAUCAUCGAAUCUUUGAACGCAUCUUGCGCUCUGUGGUACUCCUCAGAGCAUGCCUGUUUGAGUGUCGUUUUACCUCUCAUUUAAUAUUUUUUUAUUAAUUUAAAAAGUUAUUAGAUGGAUCAUGGCUGUUUUGACCAAAUUAAUUUCUGGUCUCAGCUGAAAUAUAGAAAGUGAUGUUAAAAAAAUCUUUCCCAGAGUUUUGAAAAAUAAUUUUAACGUCGGUGUGAUAAGUAAAUUACACAGGCUUGUUAACUUUAAUUUUGUAACUGGGUUCACUACGAAUACCUUUUAUAUAUAUAUAUAAAAUUUUCAACA
rnacentral:rRNA from 1 species